rnacentral:pre_miRNA from 1 species
AGGGAUGGGACGGAGUGCAGUGUUGUUUGUUCUCCCGCUAAUAUUGCACUUGUCCCGGCCUCC